AGUGAACGCUGGCGGUAGGCCUAACACAUGCAAGUCGAACGGCAGCACAGUAAGAGCUUGCUCUUACGGGUGGCGAGUGGCGGGCGGGUGAGGAAUACAUCGGAAUCUACUUUUUCGUGGGGGAUAACGUAGGGAAACUUACGCUAAUACCGCAUACGACCUACGGGUGAAAGCAGGGGAUCUUCGGACCUUGCGCGAUUGAAUGAGCCGAUGUCGGAUUAGCUAGUUGGCGGGGUAAGGGCCCACCAAGGCGACGAUCCGUAGCUGGUCUGAGAGGAUGAUCAGCCACACUGGAACUGAGACACGGUCCAGACUCCUACGGGAGGCAGCAGUGGGGAAUAUUGGACAAUGGGCGCAAGCCUGAUCCAGCCAUACCGCGUGGGUGAAGAAGGCCUUCGGGUUGUAAAGCCCUUUUGUUGGGAAAGAAAAGCAGCAGGUUAAUACCCCGCUGUUCUGACGGUACCCAAUGAAUAAGCACCGGCUAACUUCGUG
rnacentral:rRNA from 1 species